rnacentral:rRNA from 1 species
GAUGAACUUUGGCGGCGUGCUUAACACAUGCAAGUCAAACGAAGCUCUUUUAUCGAUUUCUUCGGAAUGAAGUUUUAGUGACUGAGUGGCGGACGGGUGAGUAACGCGUGGGUAACCUGCCUCACACAGGGGGAUAACAGUUGGAAACGGCUGCUAAUACCGCAUAAGCGCACAGUACCGCAUGGUACAGUGUGAAAAACUCCGGUGGUGUGAGAUGGACCCGCGUCUGAUUAGCUAGUUGGCAGGGCAACGGCCUACCAAGGCGACGAUCAGUAGCCGACCUGAGAGGGUGACCGGCCACAUUGGGACUGAGACACGGCCCAAACUCCUACGGGAGGCAGCAGUGGGGAAUAUUGCACAAUGGGGGAAACCCUGAUGCAGCGACGCCGCGUGAGCGAAGAAGUAUUUCGGUAUGUAAAGCUCUAUCAGCAGGGAAGAAGAAAUGACAGUACCUGACUAAGAAGCACCGGCUAAAUACGUGCCAGCAGCCGCGGUAAUACGUAUGGUGCAAGCGUUAUCCGGAUUUACUGGGUGUAAAGGGAGCGCAGGCGGAAGGCUAAGUCUGAUGUGAAAGCCAGGGGCUCAACCCCGGUACUGCAUUGGAAACUGGUCAUCUAGAGUGUCGGAGGGGUAAGUGGAAUUCCUAGUGUAGCGGUGAAAUGCGUAGAUAUUAGGAGGAACACCAGUGGCGAAGGCGGCUUACUGGACGAUAACUGACGCUGAGGCUCGAAAGCGUGGGGAGCAAACAGGAUUAGAUACCCUGGUAGUCCACGCCGUAAACG